GACGAACGCUGGCGGCGUGCUUAACACAUGCAAGUCGAACGGAAAGGCCCUGCUUGCAGGGUACUCGAGUGGCGAACGGGUGAGUAACACGUGGGUGAUCUGCCCUGCACUUCGGGAUAAGCCUGGGAAACUGGGUCUAAUACCGGAUAGGAGCGAUUUUGAGUGUGAGGGUUGGAAAGUUUUUUCGGUGUAGGAUGAGCUCGCGGCCUAUCAGCUUGUUGGUGGGGUAAUGGCCUACCAAGGCGGCGACGGGUAGCCGGCCUGAGAGGGUGGACGGCCACAUUGGGACUGAGAUACGGCCCAGACUCCUACGGGAGGCAGCAGUGGGGAAUAUUGCACAAUGGGCGCAAGCCUGAUGCAGCGACGCCGCGUGGGGGAUGACGGCCUUCGGGUUGUAAACUGCUUUCGCUAGGGACGAAGCUUUUGUGACGGUACCUAGAUAAGAAGCACCGGCUAACUACGUG
rnacentral:rRNA from 1 species